rnacentral:misc_RNA from 1 species
UUUCCGUAGGUGAACCUGCGGAAGGAUCAUUAUUGUAUAACCGAGGUGCGAGGGCUGUCGCUGACCCGAAAGGUCGUGCACGCCCGAGUGCCCUCACACACAUCCAUCUCACCCCUAUGUGCACCACCGCGUGGGUCCCCCUUUGGCUUGUUCGGAGGGGGGCUUACGUUUUCACACAAACUUUGUAUGCACUGUAGAAUGUAUUUUUUGUUUUUGCGAUCACGCAAUCAAUACAACUUUCAACAACGGAUCUCUUGGCUCUC